rnacentral:lncRNA from 1 species
GAGGAGUAGUUUACGGAGGAAUUCGCUUGGGAGUCGGUCUAGAUCGUUCACUGCAUCGGCGAUUUCCGAUUCUGAGAUUCUUAGCAAUGAGUACAAGAAAAUGUACGCCAUUUAGAGAGGCACACUACUACUAUAGUCUAGUACAUAAAAGAUAUUGUUGAAAAAGGGUUUCAUUCAUCUCGAAACUGUGGGUUGUUACGGUAG